rnacentral:rRNA from 1 species
GAUGAACGCUGGCGGCGUGCCUAAUACAUGCAAGUCGAGCGAACGGACGAGAAGCUUGCUUCUCUGAUGUUAGCGGCGGACGGGUGAGUAACACGUGGAUAACCUACCUAUAAGACUGGGAUAACUUCGGGAAACCGGAGCUAAUACCGGAUAAUAUUUUGAACCGCAUGGUUCAAAAGUGAAAGACGGUCUUGCUGUCACUUAUAGAUGGAUCCGCGCUGCAUUAGCUAGUUGGUAAGGUAACGGCUUACCAAGGCAACGAUGCAUAGCCGACCUGAGAGGGUGAUCGGCCACACUGGAACUGAGACACGGUCCAGACUCCUACGGGAGGCAGCAGUAGGGAAUCUUCCGCAAUGGGCGAAAGCCUGACGGAGCAACGCCGCGUGAGUGAUGAAGGUCUUCGGAUCGUAAAACUCUGUUAUUAGGGAAGAACAUAUGUGUAAGUAACUGUGCACAUCUUGACGGUACCUAAUCAGAAAGCCACGGCUAACUACGUC